ensembl:snRNA U6 U6 spliceosomal RNA
GUGCUUGUUUUGGCAGCACAUAUACUAAAACUGGAAUGAUAGAGAGAAGAUUAGCAUAAUCCUACUCAAGGAUGACAUUCAAAUUUGUGAAGCAUUCCACAUUUUU